CGAAAUCCGCUAAGGAGUGUGUA
rnacentral:ncRNA from 2 species